rnacentral:tRNA from 1 species
GUUGUGGCUCAGUGGUAGAGUGCUUGCCUAUAAUGGGUGAGGCACUGGGUUCAUUCCCCAGCACAACA